UACGAAGGGGGCUAGCGUUGCUCGGAAUCACUGGGCGUAAAGGGUGCGUAGGCGGGGCUUUAAGUCAGGGGUGAAAUCCUGGAGCUCAACUCCAGAACUGCCUUUGAUACUGAGGAUCUUGAGUUCGGGAGAGGUGAGUGGAACUGCGAGUGUAGAGGUGAAAUUCGUAGAUAUUCGCAAGAACACCAGUGGCGAAGGCGGCUCACUGGCCCGAUACUGACGCUGAUGCACGAAAGCGUGGGGAGCAAACAGG
rnacentral:rRNA from 1 species